rnacentral:rRNA from 1 species
GUAAGCAUAUCAAUAAGCGGAGGAAAAGAAACCAACAGGGAUUGCCUCAGUAACGGCGAGUGAAGCGGCAACAGCUCAAAUUUGAAAUCUGGAGUCUUUCGGCUUCCGAGUUGUAAUUUGAAGAGGAUGUUUCGGUGCGACCUGGGCCUAAGUUCCUUGGAACAGGACGUCAUGGAGGGUGAGAAUCCCGUACAUGGCUGCAGGUUUGCUUCUAUGUGAAACUCCUUCGAAGAGUCGAGUUGUUUGGGAAUGCAGCUCAAAAUGGGUGGUAAAUUUCAUCUAAAGCUAAAUAUUGGCGGGAGACCGAUAGCGCACAAGUAGAGUGAUCGAAAGAUGAAAAGCACUUUGAAAAGAGAGUUAAACAGUACGUGAAAUUGUUGAAAGGGAAGCGCUUGCAAUCAGACUCGCCUUCAGCUGAUCAACCUUCCUUCUGGUUGGUGCACUCUGCUGUUGGCGGGCCAGCAUCAGUUGGGGCGGCGGGAUAAAGGCAGCAGGAAUGUGGCUCGUUUCGGCGAGUGUUAUAGCCUGCUGUGUCAUGCCGCCAGUCCCGACUGAGGUCCGCGGUUCGCCUAGGAUGCUGGCUUAAUGGUUGUAAGCGACCCGUCUUGAAACACGGACCAAGGAGUCUAACAUCUAUGCGAGUCUUUGGGUGUAAAACCCAUGGGCGAAAUGAAAGUGAACGGAGGUGGGAGUCUUCGGAUGCACCAUCGACCGAUCCUGAUGUUCUCGGAUGGAUUUGAGUAUGAGCAUAGCUGUUGGGACCCGAAAGAUGGUGAACUAUGCCUGAAUAGGGUGAAGCCAGAGGAAACUCUGGUGGAGGCUCGCAGCGGUUCUGACGUGCAAAUCGAUCGUCAAAUUUGGGUAUAGGGGCGAAAGACUAAUCGAACCAUCUAGUAGCUGGGUUCCUGCCGAAGU